GACAGUGUAGCUUAGUUGGUAGAGUGCUUGCCUCCCAUGCAUGAAGCCCUUGGUUCAUUCCUAGCACUGCA
rnacentral:tRNA from 1 species